rfam:Gasterosteus aculeatus cont1.000630, whole genome shotgun sequence.
UUAAAAGUGUGAUGUAAGUCGCUUUGGAUAAAAAGCGUCUGCUAAAUGACAUGUA